rnacentral:rRNA from 1 species
AACGAACGCUGGCGGCAGGCUUAACACAUGCAAGUCGAACGGUAAGGCCCUUCGGGGUACACGAGUGGCGAACGGGUGAGUAACACGUGGGUGAUCUGCCCUGCACUUCGGGAUAAGCCUGGGAAACUGGGUCUAAUACCGGAUAGGACCACUGCCUGCAUGGGUGGUGGUGGAAAGCUUUUGCGGUGUGGGAUGGGCCCGCGGCCUAUCAGCUUGUUGGUGGGGCGAUGGCCUACCAAGGCGACGACGGGUAGCCGGCCUGAGAGGGUGACCGGCCACACUGGGACUGGGAUACGGCCCAGACUCCUACGGGAGGCAGCAGUGGGGAAUAUUGCACAAUGGGCGCAAGCCUGAUGCAGCGACGCCGCGUGAGGGAUGACGGCCUUCAGGUUGCAAACCUCUUUCAGCACCGACGAAGCGCAAGUGACGGUAGGUGCAGAAGAAGGACCGGCCAACUACGUGCCAGCCGCCGCGGUAA